rnacentral:rRNA from 1 species
GAGUUUGAUCCUGGCUCAGAUUGAACGCUGGCGGAAUGCUUUACACAUGCAAGUCGAACGGCAGCAUAGAGAGCUUGCUUUGUGAUGGCGAGUGGCGAACGGGUGAGUAAUAUAUUGGAACGUGCAUAGUAAUGGGGAAUAAAUAGCUGAAAGGUCAGAUAAUGCCGCAUAGGACCUACGGGGGAAACCAGGGGAUAUUUUGACCUUGCGUUCUUAGAGCGGCAGUUAUGUGAUUAGCUCGUUGGUGGGGUAAUGGCUUAUCAUGUCGACGAUCAGUAGGUUGUUUGAGAGGAUGAUCAGCCACACUGGAAAUGAGACACUGUCCAGACUCCUACGGGAUGCAGCAGUGGCGAAUUUUGGACAAGGGGGGCAACCUUGAUCCAGUCAUUUCGCGUGAGUGAAGAAGGCAUUAGGGUUGAAAAGCUCUUUUGCAAGAGAAGAAAACCUGCUAUUUAAUAAAUAGUAAGUAUGACGGUAUCUUGACAAGAAGCACCGGCUAUCUAUGUGCCCCCAGCCGCGGUAAUA